rnacentral:rRNA from 1 species
UACGAAGGUCCCAAGCGUUGUUCGGAAUCACUGGGCGUAAAGGGAGCGUAGGCGGCGUGGUAAGUCAGAUGUGAAAUCCCGGGGCUCAACCCCGGAACUGCAUCCGAUACUGCCAUGCUAGAGGAUUGGAGAGGUAGCUGGAAUUCUUGGUGUAGCAGUGAAAUGCGCAGAUAUCAGGAGGAACACCGAUGGCGAAGGCAGGUCUCUGGGCAUUAACUGACGCUGAGGAGCGAAAGCAUGGGGAGCGAACAGG